rnacentral:rRNA from 1 species
UUGGAGGGCAAGUCUGGUYYYAGCAGCCGCGGUAAUUCCAGCUCCAAUAGCGUAUAUUAAAGUUGUUGCAGUUAAAAAGCUCGUAGUUGAACUUCGRAAUCAAUGGAUUGGUCAUGCCGUUGGUAUGUACUGGUCAUAUUGGUUCUCACCUUCUAAGGAACCAUAAUGUCAUUCAUUUGAUGUUUUGGGGAAUUAGGACUGUUACCUUGAAAAAAUUAKAGUGUUUAAAGCAGGCUAACGCUUGAAUACAUUAKCAUGGAAUAAUGAAAUAGGACAUCGCAUUCUAUUUUGUUGGUUUCUAGGAUCGAUGUAAUGAUUAAUAGGGAUAGUUGGGGGCACUAGUAUUCAAUCGUCRGAGGUGAAAUUCUUGGAUUUAUUGAAGACUAACUACUGCGAAAGCAUUUGCCAAGGAUGUUUUCAUUAAUCAAGAACGAAAGUUAGGGGAUCGAAGACGAUCAGAUACYGUCGUAGUCUUAACCAUAAACUAUGCCGACUASGGAUCGGAUGAUGUUGYUUUUUUAAUGACUCAUUCKGCGCCUUACGGGAAAC